GCCCGCCUGAGUGCCUCUGAGAACACGCAGCACGGUGCUCCCUGUGCAGUGCUCCCUGUGCGUGGGCUUCGAGCUAAACACUCGAUUUCAGGUAGGGGCUCCUGCAGGGACCAGCUGUGUGACCUGGGGCAAGUGGCUCCACCUCUCUGUGCUCCUCAGGAGGCUGCAGCAGGCUUUGCUGGAACCCGGGUCAUAGCCCUGCUUGUUGGGGUCGACGGCUGGCCGCUCCUGCUGGUCGCCCACUAGCUGCGUGACUUUAAGCAGGACACUUAACCCAUCACUCGUUUGUGAAAGGGGGUACUGACAUCUACCGCCAAGGGCCCUGAGGAGGUUAUAAUGACCCUAGGCCUGUAAAAUGCUUGGCGGGGUACCAGCCACUUCCAAACAUGGGGCUCCUCUUGGGUCAGCCGUGAGGCUGAGUCUGCUUCCGGGCCCCAAUACCGCCUCAUCUCCUCCCAUCUGACCACCUGCCUGACGCGCCCCUCCCCCAGACAUCGAUGAGUGCCAGGUGCCCCCCGGACAGGCCCCUCCCUGCGACCACCACUGCCAUAACCACCUGGGUGGCUUCUACUGCUCCUGCCGCAGGGGCUACGUGCUCCACGAGAACAAGCGCACCUGCUCAGCUCCCUCUCAUGGGUCUUCAGCCCAUUAUUUGAAUCACAUUGUGUUGGGCCCCCACUAUGUACCUACCCUGUCUGGGCUCUGGACCCCUGAUACAGCCACCUCGCCCUCCUUGGGCUCCCAGAGCAGAGCCCCUAGCCUCACUUCUAGCUCCGGUCUGGGUCGGGCCGAGAUUGCUGCUGCCUGCAGCCCCCCAUCCACCCCAUCCACCCCUCUGUGGACCUAACAAUAAAGCUGCCUCCACCUCCAUCUACUGCUCGUGUCUCUUGGGUGGCACGGUGGGGAGAGGGCAGUGGUG
rnacentral:lncRNA from 1 species